AUUGAACGCUGGCGGCAUGCCUAACACAUGCAAGUCGAGCGGCAGAAGGGAGGUUGCCCCCGGGUUCCGCGGCGCACGGGUGUGUAAUGUCUAUGAAUAUGCCUGGUAGUGGGGGAUAAAGUCCGGCGACGGGCGGUUAUAUAGCAUAUGUCCUGCGGGAGAAAAAGGGGGGGCCCCGCACCCCACGCUCUCAGAUGAGCCGAGGUCGGAUUAGCUAGUUGGUGGGGUAAAGGCCUACCAAGGCGACGAUCCGUAGCUGGUCUGAGAGGAUGAGCAGUCACACUGGAACUGAGACACGGUCCAGACUCCUACGGGAGGCAGCAGUGGGGAAUUUUGGACAAUGGGCGAAAGCCUGAUCCAGCCAUGCCGCGUGUGUGAAGAAGGUCUUCGGAUUGUAAAGCACUUUAGGUUGGAAAGAAGGGCAGGGAGUUAAUACCGUGCUGGGAUGACGUUACCGGAAGAAUAAGCACCGGCUAACUUCGUG
rnacentral:rRNA from 1 species